rnacentral:lncRNA from 1 species
AACUCCUCCCCUCAUUUUCCCUUCAAACUUGUAAACAAACAUUGGAAGGAUGGCCGUGGAAGUGAGAUUCCUAUGUCACAGAUUAACCAUAGAGGUGAAAGGCAAAUGGGUCGAAUUUUGGUAUGGAAGAUAUAAUAAGAUUAACGGAAUUUCAAAUGCCAAUGAGGCAAUGACAAAAGAAAAAUUGUACACAACGCACCACCUAAGUUGUUUGUGCACGUUGAUAAAUCCGAC